rnacentral:lncRNA from 1 species
UGAGCUUAUUUAACUUUCCUUUUUUUGUGUGCGGGCGUAGGAUAAGGGAGGCGUAGGAUAGAGGGGAGGGGUAUCGAACCCUAACUAACUAGCUAACAACCCCUGGUUGCCUUUUGGUUUUGCCGUUGCAGGUACAACUUUGACGUGGUGAAGGAUGUGCCACUGGAAGGUCGCUACCAGUGGGUUCGGUUGAAGCCAUGAUGAUGAUGAUCCAAGAGGAAUCUCAGCCCGUAAAAAAAGGUGCAGGGAGAGGAGAGAGAGAGAGAGAGAGAGAGUGAUCCAGAGGAAUCAUCCCACCCCGUAAAAAAAGGUGCAUGGAGAGAGAGAGAAACCCAGUCGUAGCUAGUGGUCAGUCAUGGUGGGUAGGAAAAAAAAACAAGUUUUUCAGAGGAAGGAAGGAAUCCGAGAUGCCAGAGUUUCUUCCUUACAGGAUUCUAACCGAUUGGCAUAAUUUGUUUUAAACUUAGGAAGAAGAUCAGGGGGGGAAUGGGAGUGAUUAAAACAAAAAUAGGCAGUCAGCAGGCAGAGCAGAGUCAGUAGUCGUCCCUUUUUCUUCUUUUUUUUAUCAUCUUUCAUGUAAAGAAAGCUAGCUUUCAAUUCCUACCCAUAUUAAUUAAUAUAAUAUAUAUAUAUAUAUCUUUCUCUCAGUCUUUCUUCAUAUGCAUAUCCGGC